rnacentral:rRNA from 1 species
AACGAACGCUGGCGGCAUGCCUAACACAUGCAAGUCGAACGAAGGCUUCGGCCUUAGUGGCGCACGGGUGCGUAACGCGUGGGAAUCUGCCCUUUGGUUCGGAAUAACAGCUGGAAGCGGCUGCUAAUACCGGAUGAUGACGAAAGUCCAAAGAUUUAUCGCCAGAGGAUGAGCCCGCGUUGGAUUAGGUAGUUGGUGGGGUAAAGGCCUACCAAGCCGACGAUCCAUAGCUGGUCUGAGAGGAUGAUCAGCCACACUGGGACUGAGACACGGCCCAGACUCCUACGGGAGGCAGCAGUGGGGAAUAUUGGACAAUGGGCGCAAGCCUGAUCCAGCAAUGCCGCGUGAGUGAUGAAGGCCCUAGGGUUGUAAAGCUCUUUUACCCGGGAAGAUAAUGACUGUACCGGGAGAAUAAGCCCCGGCUAACUCCGUG